CUAGGACAACAAUUGAAGAUAGCAGAGAACGUGUACAGAGACACCUGCCCUAUAAGUGCCCAGGGAACAGCAGGACCUGCAGAGUAGAAGAGACAGCCUCCUAGGAGAACCUUAGAGACAGCAGGGACCAAGACAGAUGGGCUCCACACAGCAAGGGCAUUGUAAGUUCCAGGGCUCUAAAAACAUAGAGAACCAUUCACCCCUCAUAUAGAGAACUCCUUUUUAGAAAUAAAAUAACAAAAUAGAGAAGCCCCAGUUAACAGAUUGAGAAAGAAUUUCACCACAAUGAACAACAAUUAACACCAGAGGCUUUAUGAGAAAAUUUUCCAGAGGCGUCACUAAUAUUCCUAGAGAAAACAGAAUUGAGCCAUGAGAAAGUCAUGCAGUCAAGAAUAAGCUCAGACAUCACACUUUUCUUUGCUUUUGACCAUGGGGCAUCAUUAGCUCCUUGCCAUGGCAUCAACAGUAGGGGAAGCAGGAGAUAUUUGAAGGGACUCACUGUUAUCACAGAGCAAAAGUUCACCUGCACUGGCCUUGCAUUUGUGUAGCAACAAUGGGAGAGAGUGAGAGGACAGGUGUGCUCAGUCCGAGCCACUGGCCCCAUGGGUCCUUUAUCUGAGUGUCGGAUGAGGGUGCUGUCCAGUGGGCUGAAACAAGAAUAACCAAAUAAGGAAGCUCUAGAACAAAAUGAGGAAUGGUGGUGUGCCAGAGUCUCCAGGCUAGAGAUUCUUAGCACCAAAAUACUCAGUUUAUCCCCAAGAAGGAGACUGUGCCAGAAGGGAUUUAUUCUAGUCCUUUGCUUGGUAUUAGUUCAUGAGCUCACGUCCUUGGAGGCAUGCGGCAGAGACUGGCUCUGUCUCAUUUAAGCAACACAGAAGUGUUGGAGGGUCUGCCGCUUAGUGAACAGGGUGGCACCUGUGUGGAUAUCUGUGCCCGGGGCUUUGGAGAUACUGGCACCAGGGCUCCUCCACCAGCCCUGGAACAGCACUGGAGAUCCUGAAGACCAUUACUCAAGGCUGCUGGUUGACAAGCAGGUUGACCUUAAAGGUCUUUGCGGGGAUCUAGACUACACGAUAGAACAGGCUAUCUCUAGGCUGUAGAUGUCUGAUUUUGAUUUUGUGCAUAAGGAGCCUACCAUGCUAUGGGUGUCCCUCCUGGCCACAUCCCAGCUAAGGUAACUUUGACCCUUCACACAAUUCCCUUCUGAACCUCAUUUCUUAUCCCUCCCAGCUAAACAGCCCACUAUUUACAGAGCCAACAAAAAAUGCGAACAAUAAGAUGUGGCAGGGCCUGGAUGGCAGGAAUUGAUGCAGCCUGUGCUCAGCUCAGAGCAGUGCCAUGGCCCCCAGCCUUUGCCUCAUUCAAACGAAAGCCAAGGACAUAGAGGAAGACCAGGCCACAGAGUCUCUCUGACGAGGAGGCUGCCUCUCAAAGGGCAGGGAGACGAAUCAGGGACAAUUGUCAAUAGCACCUAAUUGUGAUUUGCUCCAAUUUUCCCAGUAAUAGUUACUCUGCAGUGCACUGCUAGCUCCAGCAAUGAAUAUUUAACAAGAAAAUAUGUCAUCAGAACAAGCCCCCACAGCAAAGGAAUUAAUAUUAAUGGGACGAAAAUUGAGCCUCCUUUUGAACUCUUGGAGAAGACUGAAAAGGUAGUGAUUAUUAAAGAACUCAGCCAGUCUCAAAACUGACCUUGACCUGGGCAGGGCUCAGCAGGAACCCAGAGAAAAGCCAUUAAAUAUUCAGCAUGGGUCUCCCUCCAGCCCUAUUUGGGGCCUAGACCUCCUGACACCUUGCAUUUCAAAGCCAAUCUGCAUAGAGGCUGACGGGGGCCUUGGAAGAGAGCAGGGAGCCAAGAGGAGAGCAGGUGAACGAGGUUGCCCUGGGCCCCAGAGCUGGAUUAGGACCAGAUGGAGCUGGGGUCACUCCACGCCCUCCUUGGAGGGCUCACCCACUUCUGCGGGCUGUAAUUAGGAGCACAGCCCACAUUUCUUAACAACAAGCCCAGAUCUUUACAAACCUCCAAAACAGACCUCGGCACAAGGUGGAUGCGAAGUAAAGAUGAGAUCACUUCUGGACCUCUCAACACUUCUGCCAAAGGAAGGAAGGAAUGGGUGGAGGAGCCGUGCGCUCACCUCCUGUGGGAACAUCCAGGCCGCCCCCCUGGCACCAUUGGUGUUGGAUCUUCUCCAUCCCGCAAGUGGCACUUGGAUUUGUCCACCUCAAGUUCGGGUGAAGGGAGCCUCAGUCAAGGAGAAUCUGACGGAUUUGAUCUUGUCAAUCGGUAGGCGCUCAGCAAACGAGCGUGUACACCUUCACUUACUUCUUCUUUUGAUAAAUGUUUUCUGGAUACCUAACAUACGCAACUGCUGGUCUAGUCUUCAAAUACACCAAAAGCAUUUCCUUCAUAAUGUCUCCUCUUUCUAGGGAAUUAGAUGGAUGGAGGGUUAGCUGGAGGACAAAGGAAAGCCAGGGGAGAUUCUUUACAGGAUAAAGAAACAAAUCAUGCUUAUAUGCCAUUGGAAAUAAGACGAUCGAGGGGGGGAACUGAGAGUAUCGGAGUUAGAGUGGAGGAUGUCUGGAAAACAACAUCCCUGAGGAGGUGAGGGGAUGGGGUUCUAAAGAACAAGGGAGGAGGUGUCCUUGGAUGGAUACGUAAAAAGAUAAUCCUCAGUUGGAUGGGUGAGUGAAUGUGGGAGUGGAUGGAUGGUUAAAAGGAUUAAUAAAUGAAUAGCCCGGUGAGUGGAAGAAUGGAUGGAUGGAAGGAUUAAUGAAUGGAUGGAUGGAUGGAUGGAUGGAUGGAUGGUUGGAUCGUGACUGGUUGAAGAGGAUGGAUGGAUGGGUAGGUCGAUGGGUGAGUGAGAGGAUGGAUGGGUGGAGGGAUGGGUAGAAGGAUUAAUGAUCAGAUAGGUGGAUAGGUGGGUGGAUGGAUGGAAGAAUGGGUGGUUGGAUUGGUGUAUGGGUGGAUGGAUAGAAGGAUUAAUGAUCGGAUGGUUGGGUGGGUAGGUGGAUCGAUGGAUGAGUAGGUAUGUGAAUGAAUGGAUGGGUGGAUGGGUGGGUGGUUGGUGAAGGAUGGGCGGGUGGGUGGAUGAGUGGAUGGAUGUUGGAUAGACUGAUGGGUGGGUGAUGGAUAGUGAUGUACUUUGAAUGGAUUAAUAAGUAUUCAUUCAUUUGGGUGGGUUCUAGGAGCUUAGUUAUAACCUUUCACCCCAAAAUCUCAAGGAUCUAAAACCUAGAAGGACUGACAAAAUUUAGCUGAAGACACCUGAGAAGCUGACAGGGACAAAGGGGUCAGGCAUCGACCCCUAGAGAUGCACUGGUGAUGUCAGCCGUGAAUUAAAGAAUGAGACCCUCCUACACUGCUGCUCUUCUCUCACUGCUCAGAAAUUACCUUUCUAGAAUACCAACUUAAUCAUAUCGCUUCCCUGCAUGAAAUCCCUCCCUGGCUUCCCUUUGCCCUUAGGAUAAAACACAGAAUUCUUACUGCGACCUACAAAUCUCACUGUCCCAGCUUCUUCUCCACGGGUUUGGAAUGGUGACUACAGCCUAAGGAUCCGCCCCAAAGCCUGGUAGGUGGAAAGAACAACAACCUCAUUUCUUACGGAGCCUCUGAGCCAGGUGGGUGGUUCUAAUGAGGGCCAGGCCUGGGUUCACACAGGCAUCUGGGUCAGUUGGCAGGCCAGCUGGGGACUGGCUGGCGUAGGAUGGCUUUGGCUUGCGGAACCGGCCUCUGCCUGGGCUUGUUCCCAGGGCUGUGGUGGAAUUGAGGGAGACAGACAGACAACAGAGAGAGAGAUGAGAGCAAGAGGGGGAAGCCCAGCAGCUUCUUGAGCUGUGGUCACUUUCUCCACACGCGGACAGCCAAGCAAGGCCCAAAUGCAGAGGUGUGGGCACGAAGGAAACAGACUCCAGCUGCAGAAGAGAGACGCCGCAAAAUCAGAGUGACACAGCUGUGCUUGCAGGGAAUGUGGGGACAGACGGCGUGUCCACCAGCAGCGUCGCAGGCCACUCUCGGCACCUGCACCCCUGCCUUCUGCCUCUCCUUCUGCCUCAGCACCACAGAGCAUAGCCCUGCGCCUAGAAGGCUCUUCCACACCAACACACCCCCCUCCCGGGGCCAACUCUCACUCAGCCCUCAGGCCAUGGUGGGCCGUCACUUCCUCGGGGAGGCUCCUGAGGCCUCGCUUGGUCCAGAGGCGUCCCGGGGGCCUUCCUUAGAGAGCAAGACAGAGAGCCUGGCGUCAUUCCUCUCGAAGGCUGACUGACGUGCCUAAUCGCACACUCCGUGUCUGUCCAGCAGAGUGUAAGCUCGACCGGGGACGGGUCCCUGUGGGUCUUGGCCCAGCUCUCAAGGCAACGUCUGACACAGAAGAGCUCAAUAACUUUUUACUACCGUCGCGUGAAUCAGUAAGGGCGCCUCUUAGCACCGUAGAGGAUAAACCGUCUUCCUCUUUCCGUCGGUGACUCGCACGCUCUUUUUAUCUUUACGCUCCCAAAGCCGUCCUUCUCGGAGAAAGCGAGACAUUUCAGCGUGAUCUCUUUGUCAGGGUAUCUCGUUCAAACCGACUCUGCUGGGCUGUCCGUCUGCCAUCCCCCUGCACUAAAACCCCUGGGAGGAGACACUGUGGGCAGCGGCGGGAACAGACCUUGGAAUCUGCAUCCUGGGGCCUAAAUGCAGG
rnacentral:lncRNA from 1 species